ensembl:lncRNA
CAAGUUAGAAACAGUAAGAGAUUAAGAAUAACUAAUAACAAAGUAGAGCAACUAUAACAACACUAAUAAAAGCUAUGCAUCUGUGGUCUCUCAAAAUAUUUUACUGUACUGUACUCACCUGUCUUCAUCUUGUGAUGACAUAACAUGCCUUUGUGAUGCCACAACCUGUGAUGAGAGGAAGUGAGGUAAAUGAUGUAGGCACCGCUAGCACUGUGACACUGUGUCAACCAGAUAACAAAGACAGCCAGUAAGGGACUAACAGGCAGGAGCAUAUACAGCAUGGAUAUGUCAGACAGAGGGAUGGACUGGGCAGGAUGAAGCAGGAUGGUGCAAGAUAUUAUCAUGCUACUCAGAAAGGCUGGGCUCGAGUUUGUGAUCCUCCUGCCUCAGCCUCCCAGAGUGCUGGAAUUACAAGCGUGCACCACCACACCAGUCUCUGAGGACUGUUCUGGAAGGCUGGUGUCACUCAGCAGCCCCCACCUUGAAGAUGAGCAGAGCCCAGGCUCCAUGCCUCAAGGCCUCCCGAGGGAUAACCAGGUGGCCUUUCCCUCCAAAGCCACCAGGGUGAGGUGUGAGGCCCAGGUCUGGCCCAUGCUGCACAUGUCACAUAGCAAGAGGAAGUGAGAAGAGAAUGAGCAUUAGGGCUGCAGGUAGGAGCUGUCAGGAGUCCAGCGAAUACAAUGAUAAAAACUGCCUCAUUUCAGUUGGACGGAAUCCAUGGUGCAUUAGUGAUGUAUGCAGAGGGAGCAGGCUGGAAAGUGCAGUUCUUCUUUGCUUCCCCAUGGUUUAAUCUUUGUCUUCUUCUAGGGGCAAUAAAAAAAAGAAAAACUUCAA